rnacentral:rRNA from 1 species
UACGUAGGGUGCGAGCGUUAAUCGGAAUUACUGGGCGUAAAGCGUGCGCAGGCGGCGCGUUAAGACAGGUGUGAAAGCCCCGAGCUUAACUUGGGAAUUGCGCUUGUGACUGGCGUGCUGGAGUGUGGCAGAGGGGGGUGGAAUUCCGCGUGUAGCAGUGAAAUGCGUAGAGAUGCGGAGGAACACCGAUGGCGAAGGCAGCCCCCCUGGGCCAACACUGACGCUCAGGCACGAAAGCGUGGGGAGCAAACAGG